AACGAACGCUGGCGGCAUGCCUAACACAUGCAAGUCGAACGAGACCUUCGGGUCUAGUGGCGCACGGGUGCGUAACGCGUGGGAAUCUGCCCUUGGGUUCGGAAUAACAGUUGGAAACGACUGCUAAUACCGGAUGAUGACGUAAGUCCAAAGAUUUAUCGCCCAAGGAUGAGCCCGCGUAGGAUUAGCUAGUUGGUGAGGUAAAGGCUCACCAAGGCGACGAUCCUUAGCUGGUCUGAGAGGAUGAUCAGCCACACUGGGACUGAGACACGGCCCAGACUCCUACGGGAGGCAGCAGUGGGGAAUAUUGGACAAUGGGAGAAAGCCUGAUCCAGCAAUGCCGCGUGAGUGAUGAAGGCCUUAGGGUUGUAAAGCUCUUUUACCCGGGAUGAUAAUGACAGUACCGGGGGAAUAAGCUCCGGCUAACUCCGUG
rnacentral:rRNA from 1 species